AGCGAACGCUGGCGGCAGGCCUAACACAUGCAAGUCGAACGAACUCUUCGGAGUUAAUAGCGGACGAGUGAAAAAAAAGAAAGAACAUGCAAUAACGUUAGGACAAACUACGGGAAACUUGUGCUCACACCGAAUGUGCCCUUCGGGGGAAAGAUUUAUCGCCUUUAGAGCGGCCCGCGUCUGAUUAGCUAGUUGGUGAGGUAAAGGCUCACCAAGGCGACGAUCAGUAGCUGGUCUGAGAGGAUGAUCAGCCACAUUGGGACUGAGACACGGCCCAAACUCCUACGGGAGGGUGCAGUGGGGAAUCUUGCGCAAUGGGCGAAAGCCUGACGCAGCCAUGCCGCGUGAAUGAUGAAGGUCUUAGGUGUGUAAAAUUCUUUCACCGGGGACGAUAAUGACGGUACCCGGAGAAGAAGCCCCGGCUAACUUCGUG
rnacentral:rRNA from 1 species